AGCCUAUUGAUCCCUAAAUAAUAGGUAAAUCCUGCCCAGUGAAAAUUUUCAACGGCCGCGGUAUCCUGACCGUGCAAAGGUAGCAUAAUCAUUUGCCCCUUAAUUAGGGGCUAGUAUGAAUGGAUAAACGAAAAUUUAACUGUCUCUAUUAAAUCUCUAAAAACUAACCUCUAGGUGAAGAGGCCUAGAUCAAUUUAAAAGACAAGAAGACCCUGUCGAGCUUUAUCCAAAAUAAGUUAAUAGUUCAUCUUAAAUCUUAUUCUAGGAUUUUGUUGGGGCGACAAGGGAACAAGCAAAACUUCCCACCAAAAAAAGACCACACGUCUUCCCAAAGACCCAGUAAUUCUGAUCAUAGACACUAGCUACCGCAGGGAUAACAGACUAAUUUCUCUCAAGAGCCCAAAUCUACAGAGAAGAUUGGCACCUCGAUGUUGGCUUAGGGAAUCUUCUAAACGCAACCGUUUAAAAAGAGGGUUUGUUCAACCCUUAAACC
rnacentral:rRNA from 1 species